rnacentral:misc_RNA from 1 species
GUACUCUCAAGCCUUGCUUGGUGUUGGGUGUUUGUCUCUGCCUUGCUUAGACUCGCCUUAAAUAUAUUGGCAGCCGGUAUACUGGUUUGAAGCGCAGCACAAUUGCAUUUCAGGCUCUUAUUACUAGCAUCCACAAACAUUAUUAACAC